CAUUGAAUGAGCUUCUUUACACUGUUGCCCUGUGGCAUGGAGUUCAAGAAGUACUGUACAGUGCUACCAAAACACAG
rnacentral:pre_miRNA from 14 species